UUUAAUAUUUUUCAUCCUACGUAUAUGCAUUGACAUUCAAUAAGUAAUUAUGUUUACUACGUUAUCAUAAAUUUAAUUUUUAAGUUUUAAUUAAUAAAUGUUUAAUUUGUUUUUCUGUUUGUUCCUCAUCAAAUUUCGGAAGGAACAAUUUUCUUCUUCGAUUCCUCAAAAAAUAAGGAAUAAAUAGGAAUAGUGUACGAUCCACAUGUUAUAAUUUGGAAAAAAAAUUACUGUUGAAUGGUAAAGAAAAGAGGAACAAUAAGGAACAUGUUGUUCCUAUCCAUUCCUUUCCUAAAAAGUAGUCACCAAUCGAAGCCUAUCUUUCAAUAGCAUACCUUCUUGAUUAAUUGCUUCUAUAAAAAAAAUCAAGAUCGUUUUAAUUAAUCUCUAUAUGU
rnacentral:sRNA from 1 species